rnacentral:tRNA from 1 species
GGGCCGGUAGAUCAGCUGGAAGAUCGCCACACUUGCAAUGUGGAGGCCCGGGGUUCAAAUCCCCGCCGGUCCA